rnacentral:rRNA from 1 species
UUGAACGCUGGCGGCAGGCCUAACACAUGCAAGUCGAGCGGUAGCACAGAGAGCUUGCUCUCGGGUGACGAGCGGCGGACGGGUGAGUAAUGUCUGGGAAACUGCCUGAUGGAGGGGGAUAACUACUGGAAACGGUAGCUAAUACCGCAUAACGUCGCAAGACCAAAGUGGGGGACCUUCGGGCCUCAUGCCAUCAGAUGUGCCCAGAUGGGAUUAGCUAGUAGGUGGGGUAACGGCUCACCUAGGCGACGAUCCCUAGCUGGUCUGAGAGGAUGACCAGCCACACUGGAACUGAGACACGGUCCAGACUCCUACGGGAGGCAGCAGUGGGGAAUAUUGCACAAUGGGCGCAAGCCUGAUGCAGCCAUGCCGCGUGUGUGAAGAAGGCCUUCGGGUUGUAAAGCACUUUCAGCGGGGAGGAAGGCGAUAAGGUUAAUAACCUUGUCGAUUGACGUUACCCGCAGAAGAAGCACCGGCUAACUCCGUGCCAGCAGCCGCGGUAAUACGGAGGGUGCAAGCGUUAAUCGGAAUUACUGGGCGUAAAGCGCACGCAGGCGGUCUGUCAAGUCGGAUGUGAAAUCCCCGGGCUCAACCUGGGAACUGCAUUCGAAACUGGCAGGCUAGAGUCUUGUAGAGGGGGGUAGAAUUCCAGGUGUAGCGGUGAAAUGCGUAGAGAUCUGGAGGAAUACCGGUGGCGAAGGCGGCCCCCUGGACAAAGACUGACGCUCAGGUGCGAAAGCGUGGGGAGCAAACAGGAUUAGAUACCCUGGUAGUCCACGCCGUAAACGAUGUCGAUUUGGAGGUUGUGCCCUUGAGGCGUGGCUUCCGGAGCUAACGCGUUAAAUCGACCGCCUGGGGAGUACGGCCGCAAGGUUAAAACUCAAAUGAAUUGACGGGGGCCCGCACAAGCGGUGGAGCAUGUGGUUUAAUUCGAUGCAACGCGAAGAACCUUACCUGGUCUUGACAUCCACAGAACUUUCCAGAGAUGGAUUGGUGCCUUCGGGAACUGUGAGACAGGUGCUGCAUGGCUGUCGUCAGCUCGUGUUGUGAAAUGUUGGGUUAAGUCCCGCAACGAGCGCAACCCUUAUCCUUUGUUGCCAGCGGUUAGGCCGGGAACUCAAAGGAGACUGCCAGUGAUAAACUGGAGGAAGGUGGGGAUGACGUCAAAUCAUCAUGCCCCUUAUGACUUGGGCUACACACGUGCUACAAUGGCAUAUACAAAGAGAAGCGACCUCGCGAGAGCAAGCGGACCUCAUAAAGUAUGUCGUAGUCCGGAUUGGAGUCUGCAACUCGACUCCAUGAAGUCGGAAUCGCUAGUAAUCGUAGAUCAGAAUGCUACGGUGAAUACGUUCCCGGGCCUUGUACACACCGCCCGUCACACCAUGGGAGUGGGUUGCAAAAGAAGUAGGUAGCUUAACCUUCGGGAGGGCGCUUACCACUUUGUGAUUCAUGACUGGGGUG